AAUCACGCUGGCGGCGUGCCUAACACAUGCAAGUCGAAACGAGAAAGAGGGGGCAACCCCUUGAGUAAAGUGGCGACCGGGUGAAGUAAACACGUGACUAACCUACCCUUGAGUGGGGAAUACCUUCCGAAGGAGGGCUAAUACCGCAUAACAUCGCGAGGUGGGAAUCCUUUGUGAUCAAAAGAGCAAUUUGCUUAAGGAGGGGGUCGCGGAUGAUUAGCUAGUUGGUGAGGUAAUGGCCUCACCAAGGCGAUGAUCAGUAUCCGGCCUGAGAGGGCGCACGGACACACUGGAACUGAAAACACGGUCCAGACUCCUACGGGAGGCAGCAGUGGGGAAUUUUGCGCAAUGGGGAAACCCUGACGCAGCAACGCCGCGUGGAGGAUGAAGGUCUUUGGAUUGUAACUCCUUUCGAUCGGGACGAUUAUGACGGUACCGGAAGAAGAAGCACCGGCUAACUCUGUGCCAGCAGCCGCGGUAAUACAGAGGGGUGCAAGCGUUGUUCGGAAUUAUUGGGCGUAAAGGGCGCGUAGGCGGUUCGGCAAGUCUCUAGUGAAAUCUCUGGGCUCAACUCAGAGUCUGCUGGGGGAAACUGCCGGGCUUGAGUGGUGGGAGAGGAGAGUGGAAUUCCCGGUGUAGCGGUGGAAAUGCGUAGAUUAUCGGGAGGAACACACUGUGGCGAAAGCGGCUCUCUGGACCACAACUGACGCUGAGGGCGCGAAAGCUAGGGGAGCAACAGUGAUUAGAUACCCUGGUAGUCCUAGCCCUAAACGAUUGAAUUGCUUGUGUGUGGUGGGUACCCAAUCCCACUGUGCCGAAGCUAACGCGAUAAGCAAUCCGCCUGGGGAGUACGGUCGCAAGGCUGGAAACUCAAAGGAAUUGACGGGGGGCCCGCACAAGCGGUGGAGCAUGUGGUUUCAAUUCGACGCAACGCGAAGAACCUUACCUGGGCUCGAAGUGUAGUGGACCGGGGUGGAAACAUCCUUCCUUUCUCGCAAGAGACUGCUAUAUAGGUGCUGCAUGGCUGUCGUCAGCUCGUGUCCGUGAGAUGUUGGGUUAAGGUCCCGCAACGAGCGCAACCCUUAUUGCCAGUUGCUAACAGGUCAAGCUGAGCACUCUGGCGAAACCGCCCCGGAUAACGGGGAGGAAGGUGGGAGAGACGUCAAGUCUCAUGGCCUUUAUGUCCAGGGCUACACACGUGCUACAAUGGGUGGUACAAACCGUCGCAAAACCCGCGAGGGGGAGCUAAUCGGAAAAAGCCAUCCUCAGUUCGGAUUGGAGUCUGCACUCGACUCCAUGAAGCUGGAAUCGCUAGUAAUACGCGGAAUACAGCACGCCGCGGUGAAUACGUUCCCGGGCCUUGUACACACCGCCCGUCAACAUCACGAAAGUGGGUCGUACUAGAAGUCGGUGGGGCUAACCGCAAGGAGGCAGCCGCCCAAGGUAUGAUUUCAUGAUUGGGGUG
rnacentral:rRNA from 1 species